GCCACCGCACCCGGCCCAGUUAAAUUUUAUGAAUGAGAAUAUUCACAGUGACUUCUAGUGAAGCACUCUAUAAACACGAUACAGUGCAACACUUUUAAACAGAAACAAACAAAAAGCACUACAGUAAAAGGCAAUGCAAUAUGACUGAAUAGAAUCCUCCAGUGAUUGUCCCCCCACAGAAAAACGAAACUGAAUAACUAUUUACAGGAAAAACACAUAAAUGAGAACCAAAAUACAGGUGAGUUAUAGCAAUACAUAGUUUUGACAUCAUAUUAAGCAAAAUGGCAUUGAGGAGGUAGAAAAGACAGUCUUGAAUUGCCUACACUGUCCCUCCCUCAUCCCAUGGUAGUUCCAUAUGGCGCUGGGAGAGAUAAUUUGUGUGCUUGAGGGAGGGAGAGCGAAGUGAUUGUGAGACUUUACUUUGGAAUUCAGUGUUGCCAUGUUACAGUGGCAACAAACCCAGAGCAGAAUUCACCUGGUAACCAUGGAGGGAGCAUUCAGACCAGACCUAGCCAGUGGGGAAUCAUCCAUCCUACCAGUCAGAACCUGAGUUCCAUCUAGCCCCACAACCAUGGACUAAAGUUCUUUGGGGUCCUAAAUAAAUUUGAAAGGAAGUCUAGGUUACAAGAACCAAAAUUCCUGGAAGGCUCCUUGCACCACCAAAUAAGUUUGGAGUCAAUGCUUUGAAAGGAUGAUGGUCAGAGGGAUUGUGUCUUUGUGGAGAGAGAUGAGGAAACUGAGGCACAGAGGUGUUGAAUGACUUGCCAAAAGUCACACUGCUAAGAAAGAGAGCCGAGACAUGUUUUGACAUCAGUCUGGUACCGAAGUCUGUGUUCUCAACCAUUAUAAUUAGCAAAUGGAAAGAAAGUUUCAUAGUCCAGUAGAAAGAAGUGGAUGCCGAACCAGUCCCACUCUUUUCCUCUAAGUGUCUAGAUAUUUUUGUGAGAUGCUGUUCUAUGUUAGUGAGUAGGUGGGUGGGAAUUAAGAUGGUGGGGAUAUUUUUGGUGGGGUGGCUUUAAAAGUAAUUGCUAUUUGACAAGAGAAUGAACCUUUUGUAAUGAACUCAGCAGAGACUCUUCCUCUUGCUUAGUCUUUGACUGUUAAAACAAUGAAUGAUCUAGAUGUUCCUUUAGAUUGCAUUUCCUUAAACAGAGGAAAAACAUGCUUCAAAUGAUUUUUGAGAAUACUAUUUUAUCCAAAUACUCAAGGUUCAUUUUCCCUUGGUUAUUAUUUCCUGGUUUGUGGAGAGAAUUUGGCAUCCAUGAUCUUCUGUUCUAAUUUGCUAGAAUUGGGAUUUAACUGUAAUAUUUGUAUUCACAGGCAAGCUAGUUGGUGGAUUACCAUUUGUUCUAGACAGAUUAAGGCACUCUUUAUGUAGCCAGUUUUUUCUGUAUUCUGUUGUGCUCAAGGAAUCUUACCCCAGCUAGUUGAAUCUCCACAAAUGGGCAUAUGUUUGCAUUUGUAAGUAAAAUCUUUGAUAAGCAAAAUGUUGUCAACUUUCCUCAGAUUCUUCUUUCAGAGAAGUUUUAAUGUUGUCACUCUCUCUGAGUAAACUUUGGGAUAUUGGAAAUGUGUAAACUAAGCAUAACAGUGUUUUCCUUUGAAUACUCCCUAUACAAAUACAAUAGUAAAACAGAUGAAACAGAGAAACCAAAACUGUCUAAAGAUAGGCAAUUCUGAUAGUCCUCUCACUCACCUUAGUCAUAAAUGAAAUGCACAAAGUAGUUAGAAUAAUUUGGCCUUGUCUAUGAGCCGACUUUAUUAUUGUUUAUCAUUUCUUGCUUGUGUUGCUUUAUUUAAUUGCAAGGAGAAAUUAUCACAAACGAUUGAGGCUUUUCUUGUUUAUCUAUUGAUAGUAUUUAAAUGGUGGCUAAGGGACAAGAAAGCAGGAAUAUUUUUGAAAGGUGGUAUGACAUAAAUAUCAGUUAAACAAAAACUCAAUAAUAGGCACAUCUAAGUCAAUAAAGUUGGUAUAAAUAAAGUUGGUAUAAAUAAAGGGGACAAAGAAAUAUCUCAGGUUUUAAGGCAGAGUUCUUUUUAUUAUUUCUUCUGGUUGCAGUCUUGGGCCUGCAUAUAGGUGCUAAGGACUUAGUAGCUGAGCUAUGAUUCUUAUUGAGCAGAUCUAAGAGCCUGACCGUCAGCAAGGAGUUUUGCCUUUAGGAUAAGUAAACCGUGAAAGUGGAUACAAGGGUACUUAUUGAACAAAUUAAGUUUCCCAUAUAAAGUGUUUAGAAUAUUUCCUGUGGAAAAUAGUGGUCACCCCUUCUGAUGUGGCAGCAUGAGAUGUUGAAUGGCAUAACAAUGUAAUAUGAUUAUCAUUAUCUUAGAAAUAGCGCAAAAGUUAUUUAACAUCAAUAUUACCACUUGAAAUACAUCACCAACUAUCUACACACGAAGCAGAAUUACUGAAAAUUUUAAAAUGAAGGAUAAGAGGCUUACAGAUGGUGGGAAAUUUUAUGAUUAAAUGAAAGUAUUGAGUUCCUUGAAUAGGAAAUGGUUUUCAACAAACAAGUGCCCAUAAGUUGCACUUGGGGAUUACUAGUGAUUUGAAACAUAUAUAUUUUUCUAAUGAGGAAAAGCCAAGAAAUCCCUGAAGUCUCCACUUAUAAAACUCAAGCUAAGCUGAAUUCAGGCUUCUCAUGAAUGCCUUACAUUCUUGGAUAAUACUCACUGCUGCCUAUGAAAUAUUACCUGAUCAUUUGCCCAGGCCAUGAACAUGUUUCACCCCAGAUUGGGGAUUGCAUGAAUUCAGAUUUCAGUCACACUUAAAGAGAAAUUGGAACUGGCAGGCGUUGAAAGACUAUGAUUCAACUUGGGAAUUAACCCCCCAAAAAGUCAGGGAAAUACAAGGAAGAGGAAAGAGAAAGUGUGAGAUAGGGGACAAAUUGUGUUAGUCAGACUUUCUCUAGGUCCUCAUAUGAAUAGGUGGCUAUUUUGAGAUCCUCAUCACUGAACGCUACAGAGAGAAGCUGCUAUGCAAAAAAUAAAAAUUAAAGAAGAGGUAUACACUCUAUAUGAAUACACAUGCAAAGUCAUGGAUUUGUUAAUGAAAUUUAAGAUACCGGGGCCAAAUUGGAAAUAACUAUUUUUUAUUUCUAGACUACUGAUUAGUCACAUCAGCACUGAUCCAUUUAUUUCACUUAACCUCCUUUUUCACUAAAACUUGUAAACAGAGGCAAAUAGAGAGUCAUCAAGAGGUGACAGAAAUAACUAGAACAUUCAGAAGGUUUUUAAAAAUGGUACCAUCAGAACUGUGAAAAGAUGUCCCCAGAGUAAAAGAACAGUGUGGGUGGCACUACUCAGUCUUAGUGGGAAAUGAAAGGAAGAAUAUUUUUAUAUACAAUCCUAUGCCACCCCAAGGUGUCAAUGAACUCAUUUCUCUUUUCUCCUAACUAAAUGCAAAAAGCACACACUUAAGUGCUUUUGUUUAUUCGCUUAAAAACAGACAAAUGUAAGUUACAUUUACUAUGUUGCCUCAUCAAACUAUCAUUGUGUUUUGAUUUCUAAGGUAAGAAAUAUUUAUAAAUUAUUAAACAUAGUGAAAUUCUUUUCCACUGAUAAUUUCUAAAAUUAUUAUCAUAAUUUUGUCAUAUUUUUUCAUACCCAAACAUCUAAAAUAACCUUUACCCACUGCAUCCAUAUUCUUAUUCUGUCUCUUAAAACCUGGCUUCAACAUUUUCUAAAGAAAAUACUCACUUGAUGGUCACUAGCGGCUUCCCAAUUAAUAUAUAAUGUGAUGUUUCCUCAAGUCAUCGUUAUUCAUGACGUUUUUAAAGUGGUUUACACUAUUCAUCACCACUUUUUGGAGCUUUGCUUCCUUAGUUUUCUUAAGUAGCUAUACUGAUAUUGCUACCUUUUGUCUAUUUCCUUUUGUUCUCUUUUUCUGGGUAAACUCCCCCUCUGCUCAGCACUUAAAUAUUGUUCUUCCCCAUAUUACUUCCCAGGCAAUUAUUGUUCUCCUCAUGCUGCCUAUUCAUGCUAGACACAUUUACUUUUAUGAUUUCAACUACCACCUCAAUACUGAUGAUUCCUAAAUCUCUAAUUCUGGCCUGGUCUUCUUUCUCCUUUGGUUACCAGUGAUAUGCUAGAAUCUGUUUUGAUAAGAGACAAAAGGAUAGCUGAAAAUAUGUUGUUCUUAACUCUUCUGGCUUUAUCAAUGUUUGGAGGGAAUUUAUUGCCAUAUUAUAUGUUAUUGAAAGUGAAAAUCUGAGGUUUCAUCAUCUGAAAACAAAACAAAACAAAAUAGUAUGCAAUGGUCUAUUUAGUCAUAUUCUCAAACUAGGUGGGUCAAAAGUUUUGCUUAUAUAAACCUCAGAUGGAUUCCCUCUACCAGUUUACACCAGGAUAGCAAAGAAGCUUCUUCCAGAGGUGCUCAGUUUUCAGGUUAGGUUGGGAGAAUGAGACUGUGCAUGCUUUUCAAGAUAUAUCUGAACAUUGAAGGAAGUGUUCAGGACUAUUACCUCUACCUUUUGUUGUAUUCUCUAAAACCCUUUCUAGUGCUACUUCUAGUGACAAACUAGUCCAGAUAGAACCUAGGAUCUCAUAGGACACCAAAAUAUCUUAGCUCUAGAGUUAUGCCGCCUACUCUGCUUCUAAUGUAAAAUAUAAAUCACAAGUACCUCUCUGGCUAGUUCUCAAUUUUGUCUUCUCCUAAAUAAGGAUACUAGUACCUACUCUGCCUACCUUCCUAGGUUGUGUGAAACUUAAGAAGUAAAUAAAAUUAUAGGUACUAGGGCCAGGGUGGUGGC